rnacentral:rRNA from 1 species
UACGUAGGGUGCAAGCGUUAAUCGGAAUUACUGGGCGUAAAGCGUGCGUAGGCGGUUCUCCAAGUCCGUUGUGAAAUCCCCGGGCUUAACCUGGGAAUGGCAGUGGAAACUAGGGGACUUGAAUUUGGCAGAGGGGGGUGGAAUUCCACGUGUAGCAGUGAAAUGCGUAGAGAUGUGGAGGAACACCGAUGGCGAAGGCAGCCCCCUGGGCUGAGAUUGACGCUGAGUGCACGAAAGCGUGGGGAGCAAACAGG